UACGUAGGGUGCGAGCGUUAAUCGGAAUUACUGGGCGUAAAGCGUGCGCAGGCGGUUUUGUAAGCCAGAUGUGAAAUCCCCGGGCUUAACCUGGGAAUGGCAUUUGGGACUGCAAGGCUGGAGUGCGGCAGAGGAGACUGGAAUUCCUGGUGUAGCAGUGAAAUGCGUAGAUAUCAGGAGGAAUACCGAUGGCGAGGGCAGGUCUCUGGGCUGACACUGACGCUCAUGCACGAAAGCGUGGGGAGCAAACAGG
rnacentral:rRNA from 1 species